GCAGCUCGCCGCGCGCGGCGCAGAGCACCGACGAGCGGCAUUAGCGAGUCUCCACCCGCUGCGAUCGCCCGCCCAAAACGAUAGUCAAAUAAAAUAUAUUAAACGUCCAAUUAAAGCGUGCUAGUUGAUUUAACAUUGAAUUCUGGUGUGAGUCGUGCUACCAUUUUAUAACCGAAGGUCCGCAAAAAUACGUAAAUAACAAGAAAUAUUUUGUUUAAGAAGACUGUUCCACAUUCAUAAUGACUUCACCGGCAAUCAACAAAUCUCCAGCGAGUCAGAAGAACGAAAAAAAGUCGCCCACGCACUCUGUGAACAACGAGGUGCGAAAUCCGACCGAAAACAACGGCGCAGCUACGGUGGCGCCCCAACAACAACCAGAACUAUUUGGUUGGCUUAGAAUUUUCAGACUAGCAGACCUUAUGGUGAAACAAGGCUGUUAAUUUAUCAAUUUUAUUUAUUACCUAAUGUAGGUACAGCAAUAAAAAAUGUUCAACAUCUUUAAACUUAGAUCGUAUUGGUACGUAGAUGAUUUAGAUAGGUACUUACUGUAGAUAAUUUAAUAUGGUACAGUAGGUACAGUUGGAGAAAUCUGAGAUAGGAUGUCUAUUAUGGUAGUACCGUAUAAUUUCAAAAAAUGGCCUUAGUGAUUGUAUAAUAAUACAUAGGUAUUACAUUCUUAUUUAAAUAUACCAAACUGACUUGCAAUGUCUCAAAAUAUAGUAUGGGUAUCAUAUAUCUACCUACUUACUUAUUUUAUGACCUUCCGUAAAAGAGCCGUAUACGCUAAGGCGCAUGCGUAAAUGACAGAAUAAAGGUUUUAGCUGAGGGUUUUAGGUCAGAAUGGUACUUGACAGGUAAACUGUGUCACCUACGCCUUGGCAUAAACUUGAGCUCAAUAAAAUUUUGUACAAACGGCUUUGUCGUGCCACAGCUGUGAAGAACGAAGAUGAACACGAGAGUGAACCUUAUUUAGGGAAUUAAACAAUUGAUGUAAGUAAUUAAGUAUAAAGCAAAUUUAAUGAUACCUAAAAUCCAUCCAUAAUGGCGAAAACCAGACUUCCAUAAAUCAAUGCAUUAAGUUUUAACUCUACUGAAAGCAUCAAUGAUUUGCGCAUUGGUAACGUUAUCUAUGGAAUCUAUAAAAUGUAGGUACCAUUUGUUUAGGUAUAGUACAAAUUACAAAAUACGCACGUACGUAACAGUGUACACGCAACAUUGGUGACCAAUGUUGCUAGAUUAGGCGAUUUUUCGCAAUUUAGACCUUCUCGUAGGUUGUCGAGACGACCAAAAAUUGCGAAUGGAGACUAUUCGCAAUUAAGGCUAUUUCGAAAGGCAUUAUAAUUGCUUUUUUGAUGUCUUUUUUGACGCUUUGAGGCGAAAAAAUUAGUUCGAGAUAACAUUUCAAAUCAGUAAUUCUAAAAUUGGGGGCAGUUUUUUUUUUGCAUCUUCGCAUUUUUACACGAUUGGGCAACUUUGCGCUUCUUCAUGACAAAUUUACGAAUAAUUGGACCACUAUGCAUCUGGCACACUCAUAAAACAUUAGAUUCAUCAACACUGUUGGUGAAUUUGAUAUUUAACGCGUUGAACGGAUAUCUUCCUUUAGCAACUACACUAACUUUUAUUUUACUCCAGUGGUCGUAGAGAUUGGCACCUGCGCCGCCGUCCCGCCUCUCACAUACAUAAGGCGUGAUCGAUAAUUAUAAUAUGUAAACCUAUGGUUACAACUCACAACAGAUUGUAGUUCUUGGUAGUAGAUAAACAUUGUAUUAAAAACAGAUGUAGCAACAAUUACAUGUAACUAGUACCUACGUAGUGAAUCCGUCAUGGCUAGUAUUAGUAUUUAUUUCGCUUUAAUGAAAACAUUAUACAUAAUACAAUAUCUUUGAAGUAGUACGUCUUCUAAUUAUAGAGAAAGCUUAUGUUUUAUGUUUAAUAGAAAUAUUAUGUAUAAGAAAUAAUAUAUCUAGAUAUAUAAAAAUCAAUUGCAGUUCGUUAGUCUCGCUAAAAUUCUAGAACGCCUGGACUGAGUUGUCUAUUUUUGGAUUUGAAUUUUUGUGGAAGACUAGAGAAGGUUUAAACUGUGAGAAACAAAUAAUAAGUAACGGGCAAUAUCUACUAAAAAGACAAUUUAAUUUUUCAAUACAAAAUGUUCCUAGCUGUUAAUUAAACAUUGUAUGUCUGUUGUCUUUUUAGAAAUAAAAAAUUUACAAAUAUUUUUAUGUGUUCAGAAAUUUGCCUGUUUUAUUGCUGUAAUAUGUGAUGCGAUCUCUUUGGUCUGUUUUGUUGGAAUGCAAAACAAUAGUUUCAGAAAUUAAAAAAGUUGUGUUAAGUUAUGACCAUAUUUUUCAGAAAAUUAUCAAUUUGGAAAUAGGUCAUUAUUUUAUUAAGAGUGCGUAGUUGAUACGAAGCUCACCGGGUCAUCUCGUACGAAAUAAAUAUUUUAAAUAGGACCUCGAGCAGAAAUGGCAGCUCUAAUCCGCGUAACAAAUUUAGCCUACAAAUUGUGAACCUUAAAGUUAUUCAGCAUGUUCCUUAAAUUUCUAUCAAUCUAAAAAAAAUAUUUUAGAAUCUAUGUAGUAUGUAUCAGUCAAUUAGCCACUAACCACUGUUACUACAUACAUACUGAAUUAUCUUUAAGACAGCUGUCGUUUAAAAAUUCCUUUCGCUCCUUUGAUUAAUAUUAUAUUCAUCAUGUCAUUGUUGGCGGAAACAGUUUUAUUUAAAUACCUGUCAAUAAUAAUUAUUAAAUAUUAACCUUAUUUGAAGAAUUAUAUUAAUUUAUUAAUUACUUAGGGUAAAACGAUAAUUUAAUUUGUCAUUCUUUCUGAAAGGAUAAUCGAUAAUAUGAGCAAUAAUAAAACCUGUCUAACUAGGAUAAAGAGAACUUAAUAAUUCUUGAGGAGUCUCUAGGUACAUCGAAUAUAAAAUUCAAGCACAGGCAUCAAGUUUUCUCAAUUCGAAAUUUGCACUAAUUUUUAUUACCCUUGUUUUAAGUCGAAUUUGUACACCCAUUUAUAACAUUAAAGUCACUCCUAACAUUUUUAUAUUAAACGACUUCCAAAAAAAGGAAGAGGUGCUCAAUUCGAUUGUAUUUUUUUUUGUUUGUUACCUUAGUACUUUUGACUUUUAGCACUGAAGUAUAUCAACGAUAUCGGCAAAUAAUAUUUGAAACAACUUACGGUUAUGAAUUCAUCGAUGGCUAAAGUACCCAUACCUACUUAUUACUUAACUUAGCGACCAGUUAAACCUGAAAUGUAUAGUGAAAACAUCCGUCCUCGUCAUAAAAUACCUAUACCUAUUAUCUAGUCAGAUUGACGGUCACAAGGGUAGAUAUCAAAAUUAUGUACAGAUGGGAAUCAAUAAUUCUAAUACCGAACUAUUAGAGUUUGCAAAUAGGUUUCUGCCUUCUCGAUAAUACAAGGCAAAUAAAUUAAUCAGCUAUAUACGACAACGUGGCGGGUUAUGGUACAUUCACCAUACAUAUUUUGUAAGUUACUAGUCCACAAUGAAAAUUGUUAAUAUUAAACCACUGUCCUGACAAUGCACAUGAAAAUACUAUGUAUCGGCACUUAUUUGUGUUGUUAUAGUUUAUGAAAACAUUAUGUCCCCAAAGACACAAAUGACACACUAGUCUUAUGUUAAAGCUGUUAUGUAAUGAAUAAAUAAUCCUUAAUUU
rnacentral:lncRNA from 1 species